AGAAGGCAGGAAAGAAGAGCAAUGCCCCGAAAGAAGAAGUAAGUCUUGUCUCUCAGCCCUUUGGUGUCCCAAGCAGCAGUUGCCAUGGCCAAGUUUUCCCAGCCCAGCUGCUGCCAGCAUCUCCCCAGCUUGCCAUUGCCACCUUCCUGGGUGAGGCGCGCGCGUAUUUGCCAUUGGCACUGUUGCCCAUCCCUGAGAGUGGCAAGCAGUGCAUAGGUCCAGCACGAGAGAGGGGAGAGGACAAGCGAGAGGGGCAAGGGCUGAGGAGCAUGGCUGAAGCUGGAGCAGGUGCCUGCAGGAGUCUCUGUGCCUGCCUGCCUCGGUGCUGCGGGGGCCGUCAAGGAGAAGCCUGAGGUCAGUCACGGGUAGCCGUGAUAGUAGGCUAUGGAGUGGUCCUUCUGCUGCUGCACGAAGAAUUGCAUGGGGCCGAUCUUCGUCUGGUGGGCCGCCUGCUGCCGCUCCUCCUGGGCCAGUUUCUUCAGGUGCUCCCGCUCGGGACGCUGCUGCAGCGUGAUGGGCACCGACUCCUCCAGCAUCUUGGCCCCGAUGGCCGGUGCCGUGGUGCUGUUGGUCGCCGGCUGCUGCCCGCUGCUGCCUGCUUCCCUGCUGCUGCCAGCCACCGUGCUGCUGCCACCCGUCUUCCCCUGGUACGGUCUCUUGCGGCCUUGGCCAGCCUGGCGCUUGGCCCCCCGCUUGGUGCCGGUGGACGCAGGGGCAGCCAGGGGGCUCUUGAGGGGACCCAGGGGGCAUUUGGGCAGGGGUCUCCUAUGGUCACUGCGGCCCUUGGGGUUUGGGCGUUUCUUGGGGGAGCUCGGGGGGGAUUUGGGCUGGGGUCUACUAAGGGCACUGGGGACCUUGGUGUUGGGGCAGGUCUUGAGAGAAUGCUGGGGGGGUUGGGGCAGGGGUCUACUAAGGGCACUGAGGACCUGGGUGUCAGGGAGGCUCCUGGGGGGACUCAGGGGUGGACUGGGUAGGGGGCUCCUAAGCGCACUGAACAGGGGACUGGCUGCAGGGCUGAGCGGGGGGCUCACUGCUGUCAUGAAGGGGGACUGCAGCGACAGCCCACCCUCAAGCUUCUCGGGGCGCACCCCAGGGGUUGAGGGGACCUCACCGAGGGCUCCUGUGGCUUCCAGUCCCUGCGUGCUCGGCUGCUCAAUGUCCUCGCAGAGGUCAGGCAGCUGGGAGUGGAAGCGGCUGAGGGCAGGACUGCUGGGCAAAUCGGCGAAGGCGUCCUGGGGCUCCACGGCAUCGAGCCAGCUGAGCAGCUCCUCCAUGCCGGGGAUGGGGAUGUCCAGGUCGGCCAGGAGCUCGUCCUGCAUGUGCUGCAGCUGCUGGCUGUCCCCUGCCAGCUCUGGAAAGGCCUCGGCCAAGGCAUCAGGGCCCAGCUCGGGCAGCUGCGGGGGCUCCUCAGGCACCUGCGGGGCUGUCACCGCUGAGGACGAAGCAAGAAAAUCCCCCAAGACGGGUGAUGUCAGCUUUCCCAUGGCCCCUGGGUGUGGGGCCACAACCGGCCGGCUGUGCCAGCCCCAAACUCACCGUCGGGUGUCGCCGUCUGGGUGCUGGCAGUCCUUGGAGCCUGGGCAGGCUCAGGGGGAGUGGGGCCGGGCAGCGGGGGCCCCUGGUCCUCGCUGAGCCUUACGGCGUGCAAGCAGGGCUCUGGCAGCUGCCCAAGGCUGCUGCUCAGGGUGCGGGGCAUGGGGAGCACCUGCCUCUGCAGCGGAGGUCCCGGGACGAGGGGUGGCGGGGGGUUGCGCUGGGCGGGGGCCUGCAACAGGCAGGUGCCUGCGGGGUGCAGGAGCUCCCCAUGGAGCACGGCCCUGGGCCCCAGCCCCAGCGCAUGGUGGGGCACCAGUGUCCCUGUCACCAUGGGCUGUCCCCACUGAUGGACGGGGGCACAGGGAGGAGCGGUGUGGGGGAGCUGCCCCACGGCGGGGAGCUGCACCAGCUGCAGCUGGUGCCCCAUUGUUGGGAGCUGCACCAGCUGCAGGUUUUGCCCCACGGCGGGGAGCUGCCUAAGCUGCAGGUGGUGGCCCUCGGCUGGGAUGUGCCCCCAGGUGGCAGCUGCACCCCGGCGGGGAGCUGCAGCACCUGCCCCUGGACCCCCAGCACCACGUGCCAGACAGUGGCCUGGGGCAGCGCGGAGGGGAGGGUGGGUACAUGCGGGGGCUGCAAGGGCACCGCCGUCGCUCCGGGGAGGGAGGGCAGCAGCCAGGCAGCCACCGUUGACGGCACGGCUGCGACGACGAAGGAGGAGUUUUGCGUCUGCGCAACCCGCAGAAGCCGUCUGGGGAAACCCUCUGUGGGAAAAAGGGCGCUGGGCUGAGCUCUGGGGCACUGGGCUCGCCAGCACGGCCGCAGCCCUGGGAGGAGCGGGAGCCGGCUGCUGGACCUGCCAUGGUGGCUGGAGAGUGGGGCGGUUGCUUGGGGAACCCGGGCAACGGGGGUUCCGUCCCAACGGCUGACCAGCCCCUCGACAACAUCUUGGGGAGGACUGCAGGCUUUGGACCCAAGCAGGCUGCCCAGCACAAGACUUGGCCAUCCCCAGCAGGCUUGCCCUCCCACGCAGCACUUGCCAUGCCCACGACGCUUCCACACCGCCUCUUCCCCGUCCUAAGCAUUUCCCACCCCAGUACCAGCUUUCAUCCUCAUGGUCAUUUCCCAUCCUGACAAGUUCACAUGAUAACAGAUUCCCAUACAAAAGAUUUCCCAUCAACACAAAGCGUUUGUUCAUCCAAAGAGAUCUCGUCCCAAAGAAUUCCCCUCUCUUGGAUGACUUUCUCAUGGUUUUCCUACUUCAAUAAAUGUUACCCACCCCAUUCA
rnacentral:lncRNA from 1 species